CAGUAGCCACGGGAAUACGUAGGUGGCAAGCGUUGUCCGGAAUCAUUGGGCGUAAAGGGCUCGCAGGCGGUUUCUUAAGUCUGAUGUGAAAGCCCCCGGCUCAACCGGGGAGGGUCAUUGGAAACUGGGAAACUUGAGUGCAGAAGAGGAGAGUGGAAUUCCACGUGUAGCGGUGAAAUGCGUAGAGAUGUGGAGGAACACCAGUGGCGAAGGCGACUCUCUGGUCUGUAACUGACGCUGAGGAGCGAAAGCGUGGGGAGCGAACAGGAUUAGAUACCCCUGUAGUCCCUGUCUCUUAUAC
rnacentral:rRNA from 1 species